AGGUCUGGGCAGCGUCUUCCUGAACAGCCUGAAGCAGAAGGUGGUGACCCUGGCAAGCAGCGCAGACGUGCUGAGCACCGUGCAGUCGGCCUCCCAGGCCAUGCUGCAGAGCGGCUGGUCCAUGCUGUUGCCCACCGCUGAGAAGCAGGCCCGGGCACUCUGCUCUCCUGUCCUGUGGAGUUUCAGGCAAUGAAGUGAACAUAAGUCCAGGUCAUCGAUUGGUGAUUGAUCUUCUGGUGGGCAGCUUGAUGGCUGAUGGAGGGUUGGAGUCAGCCUUACACGCAGCCAUUACUGCAGAGAUCCAGGAUACAAAAAAAGAAGCACGGAAGGAAAAAGAAAUUUAUGAACAGGAGGCAAAUGCCUCAACAUUUCAUAGAAGGAGGACUCCAUUGGAUAAAGACCUUAUUAAUACGGGGAUCUGUGAGUCUUCUGGCAAACAGUGUUUGCCUCUGGUUCAGCUCAUACAACAGCUUCUUAGGUAAAUCAUAUUAGCUGUAUUGUAUUGUGUUUUAUUUAUUUACUUUUUUUUUUUUGAGACAGAGUUUCGCUCUUGUUGCCCAGGCCGGAGUGCAGUGGUGCGAUCUUGACUCACUGCAACCUCCGCCUCCCAGGUUCAAGUAAUUCCUCUGCCUCAGCCUCUCGAGCAGCUGGGAUUACAGGCAUGCGCCACCAUGCCCCACUAAUUUUGUAGUUUUAUUAGAGACAGGGUUUCUUCAUGUUGGUCAGGCCGGUCUUGAACUCCCGACCUCAGGUGGUCCAUCCACUUUGGCCUCCCAAAAUGUUGGGAUUACAGGCAUUAGCCACCACGCCUGGCCUAUUUAUUUACUUAUUAAUGGUGUUUUUUGUUUUUUGUUUUUUUUUUGAGAUGGAGUCUUGCUCUAUCGUCCAGGCUGGAGUGCAGUGUCACGAUCUUGGCUCACUGCAACCCCCGCCUCCUGGGUUCAAGCUAUUCUCCUGCCUCAGCCUCCCGAGUAGCUGGGACUACAGGCGUCUGCAACCACACCUGGCUGAUUUGUGUAUUUUUAGUAGAGAUGGGGUUUUACCAUAUUGGUCAGGCUGGUCUCAAAUUCCUGACGUCAGGUGACCCACCUGCCUUGGCCUCUCAAAAUGUUGGGAUUACAGGUGUUAGCCACUGUUCCCGGCCUGUAUUGUAUUUUAAUAGGUGAUUAUUGGUUUUCAUAUUAAGAUAGUGAAAUCUAGCGCAAGGGUCUCAAAAAUUUGUUUGAUGAUUGAAGGAAUAUUCUGAAAAUUACCUAGUAUAGAUGUUAGGAUAAAGAGCAGACCCUUCUCAAUAUAGGUGAGAGGAGAAGUUGGAGGGUGUGAUGAUACUCAGAAGUUUUUCACAGAAGAGAAAUUGGGGCGUGCGGUAAACAUGUAAAAAGAUUCUUACUAAUAAGCAGGUAGGUGCGAAUGAAAAUCAUCAUGGAAGGUUAUUUUUAAAACUGGUUCUAUCAUUGCCUCACUUUACAUAUUACAGAGUUGUACCUACUACUUUGUAAGAUAACUUUUCUUUUCAAAACUGAAGUCAAUGUGAUAGAAUGGUGAGCAUUAUUUUGGAAGGCCAGACUAGGAGGAGGUGGGAGGAGGAAGUCAGACUCAGCCUGUGAACAGACGCUAACCUUGGCAGAAGCCAAAACAGUCAGACAGUGUUGUGUAAAAAUGAUCAUUCAAGAAGAGCGAAACAGCAAGGUGAUUUGUGAAAGAGAUUUAUUAGAAAAUGAAACACAUUUAUACCUCUGUUCAAUAAAAAUCUGCUUUUCGUCAA